GUGCCCGGGAGCGGCGGUGCCCGGGAGCGGCGGUGCCGAGCUGCCGUGUCCCGCUGCAGAGCGGCCGAGCGCGGCGCCUCAGGGCGGCGGCUGAGGCGCUCGCACAGCGCCCGGCGGCACCGCGCUGCGCAGCGAGCUUUCUGAGCUGAAAGGCACCAGAGGACUUUCUGGGACAGGAUAAUAGACAGACUGAGGACACUGCCACCUUGGCGUGAGGAAAGCUGUCUAAGCAGAAUCGAGUGACUCUGGGAGCACUUGUUGAGCUUGAUGUUCAUGCUGAGGAUGUUCUUGCAUCUCUAGUAAGCAAAAAAGGCAAAGAUGAGAGUGACUUUGAAUGGUUAAGUCAGCUUAGGUGCUGCUGCGAGUCAGACAAACAUUGCACCCAAAAAGCUAAAGCUGAGUUGAGCUCAAGGAAAGUAAAAAAUUUCUGUGGAUGGUCUAAGAAAGAAACAAGCAAACCUGAGGGAAGUUCAAGAUAAAUUUGCAGUGCUCCAGCAGACACUGGAAUCCAAGAAACAAGUGAAAGCUGACUUGGAAAAUCAGAAAUAUGAAGAUACAGAACCUGAAUCCCAGCUGCCAUUGUGCAUUACACCAGUCAUCCCCAGGGAAUGUUUGGUGUAAGCCCCUUGUGAUGAUUUUAUCCAGUGAAGGCAAGAAGCUCUCAGCAUAGUCCAGCAGCAGCUGAAGAAAGCCACAAGACCAGCAAAGGCAGAGAUAAUACCAAUGGUGGAAGAAUUUAUCAUUCAUAACCUGGGCCCUCCAAGCACUGAUACUAGUAGUUUCUCCUGGUGCUGACUCCAUGUCAGCCCUUCUUCAGAUCAGGUAUUUUAAUCUCUUUUAGUGUAGUUGAUGUUUCUGUGUGCGCAUGUGAGUGUAUUUGUAUGAAGCAAGGAAUUUCGUUUAACUAAAAGCUGCAAUGCCAAACCAAACCCAAAACCUGUUUUUAACUGCCCAAAAAACAUGGUAAAAUUGAUCUCAUGCUUCUCUUUAACACAAGGCACUAACUCAUGCAUAUGAAUUGUUUUCAGGAAUGAAUAUUUCUGUUGUUUAAAAGAAACUGUAGGAUAAAUAGUUUAUCAUCUUGUGAUGUCAUGACCUAUUUUGUGUCAUUUCAAAUGGAAAAUGCAAAAAUGGAACAAAACCAUAAUAGUUUAAAUGUUUCUUGUAAGCAGUCUUAUCUGAAAAUGCUAUUUUUUUUCAAACAUGUGCAAGGUAUUAUUUAAUCAAAACCACCAUAGUAAUAUAGGACCCUGGAGUCCUGGGUGGAAUUUAUACAUCAGAAUUGAAAUAUGGAUUUUGUUGGGUUUUUUUUUUUGCUUUGACUGUUGUUGUGGCAUUUAAAACAAACAAACAAAAAAUUCCCAACAGCCCAAAUCAGUUCUUAUGUAGAAAAGUACUGCUAGAAUACUAGAAAGUAAGAUUAUACAUGUAAUAACACAUUUUAAGAUGUAUUUCUUGCAUUUCCUGCCUAUAAUUCUGUCAGAAUUCUGUGCUUUGAGAAUGACAGGUACACUUCAAGUCUUCAGCCACCAAGCUGUAAAGGUAUUCUGCAUUUUAUAGUAGGCUGUGUCUACAUUGUUCAAGAGAACACUGUUUGCAGAAAUGUUCUGAAACUGUCAGAAUUGCAUAGGUCCAGAUUAAAUGUAUGGGUAGUUGGAGCUUUUCACUGGGAGAUACACAAGAUGUGGCAUGACAUGAAAGAAAAUAUUUAAAUUGCAUUUUAAACUAUAGAGUACAUUAAAUACCCAAUACCCACUAUCUGAUCCUGACUUUUACAAUAAGUGCAGAAAACCUGUGAGUAAUGUUGCAACUUUGUAAAUCGGUUAAAGCCAACCCUAAUGAACGGGUAUCUGUGAUCUGUGGGGAGAAGGCCUCAAAAAUUAAAUAAUUGUGUUCCACUGCAAGGAAAACAGUUUCAAUUACUGCCAGUAGUGGAAUAAAUUUAUUUUUUAUUUUAUUGCUUGUCUCAUACUUCAUCACUUGAAACUUACUGCUAUAGCAUUAAUAAUACAGCUCUCUAGGUGUUUUUUUUUAAAAAAGGUAAGAUUGGGAAAACCUAUCCACUGUUUUAAUAAUUUGAUGUGUCUUUGCAAUCACAUUUUACAUUAUUUUGCAUUAUUUUUCUCUAAUUAAUGUAGCUUAUCUAAAUGAGAUUGAAUAUUUACCUAAAUGGUCCGACUUGAAAACCAAAUCAAACAUUUCUACCUGAUGUCUUUAUGUAAAGGCCAGAAAUCUAACUUGGUAAGGAGAAAAAAAAAAGCUAAAAUAUUGUAUGAACAAUAUAAUACAGUGUAUAUACAAUAUAAUACAGGUGUUUAAAAAUUUACAGGUUCAUGGUCUCAUACAUACAGUUGUACGUAAUGUAUAUAAUAAAAUAGCCUUAAAAACUAAAAUUGCUUAGAGGUUUUAAGAGACUCUGGAAUGAUGCUCGUGACCAUUCAAAGACCUCCUGCUGAAGGGGCUUCCCCUGCCUCACAAAGUGUGUGAGCAGGAAGAAGCUGGGCUCAGAGUGGCUCAGCUCUGCUGUGCAGGACAGGAGAUAAAAAGUUAACUAUUCCUGCAAGGUGUAAAACAUCCUACGGGCACCCCUGAUGGCUGGCUGUGAUUUAUUCAGUUCCAGGGACAAGACCAGCCCCUGGACUGCUGCGGAGUGAAAGCAGCAGGGAUCCAGCUGAGGAGCUCUGACAGAGGCCGUUUCCUUCCCUGCCUGCAGAGGUGGGUUCUGCCCAUGGAAGCCUUUCGGGAAUUUGCCAGCGAUACAGGGCAUUUCUUCAUGUUCAAACUUCCUAAGCAGCCCAGCAUGGCCAAAGUCUGUCAAAGUUAUGGAUGGGCAGGAACAGGGGUGUUCCUUUCACUGUCAGCCUACAGUGAUUUCGGUUAUUAAUGUGGUUAACAGGCAAAUUCAAGCAAUAAUGUGAUUAACAGGCAAGUGAUCAAGCAACUUCACCAAGGUGUUUCUUUCCUGAAGGACAGUGGGGAGUAAAGGGCAAGGUUGUGAAGGGGGGUAUCCUCCUAUCACAUGACCAAAGGUUCUGAACAAAUUACAAAUACAGAUUGUAUAUAUAUAUAUAUAUAUAUGCAAACUAUAUAUAUAACAAAUAUGUAUUUGUAAUUCUGAACAAAUUACAAAUAUAGUUCCUAGCAGGGAGGGAACCUUUUUUUGCCCUGAAGGAUAAUGUAUGUAGUAAACAUGUAGUGGUACUUUUUUUGACUGGUUUUCUUCAUCCCAGUUCUCAGUUCUCUUGCCUUUCUGCAAAUAAUUUUCUUUUAUCACUCAUAAUUUUUCCUUUUUAUGCACCUAAGAGGAGUCCAGCUUCUCCCAACCUCAAGAAUUUAAGCAUACUUGAUUUUCGAAAUAAAUAAAUAAAUUUUAAAAACUAUGAGCACUGCUAUGGCCUUGUGAUAGCAUACAUUUAUUUUAGAAAGAUGUCAAACAAGUAGCAAUAAUUUUGGAAAAGUUUUCCAUAAACUUGUAUCUAGGGAGUUUCAGCUGCAUUACUAUGGAAUUUUUUGGUGCUAUUAUUAUUCAAAAGCAGGAAUGGCUGGGUGACUUGAGGGAUUAUUAUUAAAAAGUAUUUGAAGGGCUGGAGAUGAAAUGGUUCAAGCAUGAACUAGCAGAAGUAAUUAACAGCUUUUAAACUUUGCAGUGAGAAUUCUGGCUGUCUUCCAAGUGAAUUACAGUGAUACUGAUAGGGCUGCCCAGGGAAGUGCUGGGCUGCUGCUCAGAUCACUGUCCUGUUUUCCUGCAGGAGCUGCCAGCUGAUGCUCCUCACUGUCAGCUGGGGAAUGCAAUUACAGUGCCAGGGGCACUGACACUGGGAUUGGCUCUGUAAGUGUUCUGAGGAUGUUCUUUUCCUCUAAAAUCAUUACAAAUGUCAAUUAUGUACUGGAUCCAAGUGGUGUUUAUUUUGCCUCUCCUGAAGGAGAUGUAUGUCAGAACAAUAGAAUUACCAACACCUUUUUUUUUUUUUAAUAGAUGUAAUCUUUACUGAAACUGAUGCAUUUCAGUGUUUACUCAGUCACUGUUUGCUUGCUGGCUUAAUCUCACCUUCUAUCAGAACUUGUUUCAGUGACUUCUAAGAAAGGGACAUUAUGUAAACACCACCCAAUUACUGUCAUCUAAAUUGACUCUGUGUGAGUCAGCACUCAGGGGACAGUAAGUGAGAAACACAGCUCAGUGAAGUUAAAAGCAUUUUAAAAUAGGCAUAAGAGAAAUAGCUCAUUAUAACUACUGGAGGCAGAAAGGCCACAAUAAUCAGCUUAAUUAGCACAGGAGUUGUGUCAGUCAUCAGCAAAACACCUUCAGGCACUUGGCAGGCAGUGGGCUCAGAGAGGGGCUGCAGCCCCUUACACUUGGAAUCUCAUUUUAAUAGAAUUUUCGUCAGCUCCCAGAAUUUUUCAGGAAUUGUAUCUUUGUAUCUCUUAUAUCUUGGUUAACACACUUCAUUCAUCACUCUAGGAAAGCCUGUGAUGGUUUUGAAGUACAGCUUGUGGCCUCUUGUGGGCUGGUUGGCUGCUUCUGCAUCUUUUUUUUUUUUUGGUCUAGAGGUAUUUUUCCCCACCUUGUCUCAGUACUGCAGCUGUACUGAAUAUACAAAGACACUUGCACAGAAUCCUUUCCCACAGAUCUUUGACUGCAAAUGCUGCUAUUACCAAGGAUCAGUCAGGAACACAACUGCUAUUUGAUGACAUUCUUACACAGGUAUGAUACAAAGCCACACAUCCUUACCUUAAUUUCCUACUGUGUAUCCAUGCUGGUAUGUUCACAUUCCCUCCUGAGUUUUCACUGUACUUUAUUGUGUUGUAUCUCCAUUCUGGUGAAAUUACUUUUCCACUUAAAACAUUCUUAAGACUUUUUUUUGGGGAGGUUGUAUUGAGCAGUCCAAUGACUACAGGAUCAGCCAGAUGAUCACAGUAAUUUUCUAUGGAAUCCCCCAAUCCACUGUUCUUGUUUUUAGUAUUGCUCCUACCUGACUGACCUAGACAUAAAUGUUGGACAGAGCAUUUAUGUUGGUUUUUAAUUGUUUAAGCAACCCUGUUAAGCAAAGUACUUUGACACCCUCCUUUUCAGAAUUUCUUCUAGGGGCUUGUAGUGAUGUCUGCUGAACUGAAAGGAAUACUAAAACACAAAAGUAAUCACACCAUAAGAAGCUCAAGAGAAAUAUCUGCUCCUUGAAUAUUUUUUUUUUUAUUUUCUGAAGGCUCCUUAUGUAUAAGGAACACACAUAAAAUGAACACAACACUGUUGACAAUGAACAAAACAGCAUUUGAUAAUUUCCAGCUUUAUAAAAUUUUUUAAAAAUGGUUUAGUUAUAACAAAAAAAAAACCCCAAUAGCUCAGCAAGUUAUCUUAUUGGACCAUUAUCACAUUUUAAACCAUAGACUCAGUUAAUGGGGAGAGGAAAGAAAAAAUAUUAAAAAAAUAAUCACACUGCAUCUAGCAACUACAACAUUUUCUAAGCAUAAUCACAGCGGAUUGAGUGCAAUGUGAUUUACAUCAGAAUUCACAUGGGAUGUCACACAGUGACAGCAUUGUAAAAUAUACAAGUAACAUUUAUGCCCUCCAACAAAUACAAGUUAAAUGAGACUCUGGAUUCAAGCCAAAUGGAAUGUUGAAGCCAAGUAGAAAUGUAGUGGAAUUCAGAUUGUCUGUAACAUGACUCAGAAGUGUACAUUAGAAUCAUCUGGAAUUCAAUACUGGUGGAAACGUAGAGAGGUCACAGCUUUUACACUGCUCUGUUACAUUUGCAAUAAAUACUAGAAAAUAAAAGUAAAUCUAUGUUCUAUGAAAAAUACAGUACCUACCUUCAACGACCACGUUUUUCCCUUGUCUGAAGAUGGUCUUGGAAGGAAGUUAACUAUUUUCCUACAGAGGCAGUGUACUGAGCUAUAACCACAUUCCAACUAAUACAACAGUAAGUAUACUACUGGAAAUACAGAAAUCUUCA